rnacentral:lncRNA from 7 species
UCACAUGUAAACCAAAUCACACAUCUCUCUUCGAAAAUCCACCAUUUAACCAGAAUGUCGUGCACUUUCUCUUGGAAAAUCCCCCAUUUACCCCCCAAAUCAUGCAUUUUCUCUUGGAAAAUCCCCAUUUUAACUCGAAGAUCACACAUUUUCUCGUGGAAAAUCCCCUCUAGCCCCCAAAUCAUGCAUUUUCUCUUCAAAAAUACCCCCUUAACCCUAAAACCACACAUUUACUCUAGGAAAUCCCCCAUUUAACCUGAAAUCACGCUUUUCUCUUCAAAAAUCCCCCAGUUGAGCCCCAAAGCAAACACUUUCGCUACGAGAUCCCCCAUUUAACCCAAAAUCACGCAUUUCCUCUACAACAAUCUCACAUGUAAUGAAAUCAUGCAUUUUCUCUUCAAAAACCCCAUUUAACUCGAAAAAACGCAA